UUUUCAACUUUUGGAGCUCAAACUGCAAUAAUAUGCAAUUCAAUCAUUAUUAUUUUCAUAUGGGCUAACGAAGGUGAAACAGAACUUGAUCCACCAGCAUAUCGGUUAGGUUGAGUGAUCAUAAAUCACUCGAAAAAAGUAUUGCUAUAUAUCCCAACUUCUCUUGUAAUUAAUCCAAAAUCUUCCUUCUGUUUUCUGCAGAAAAAAUAUAAACUAUUUUUCAACAAAAGUAUCAGAAUUUGAGAAACUCAUAAGGAGGAUGAUUUUGGAGAGCAUGGGUCUUGACAAUUACUUGGAUGAACACAUGAGCUCGACUACUUGUGUUCUUAGAGUAAUGAAAUAUCAAGUGCCUCAAAUUACUGAACCAACGUAUACCUCAAAGCCCCACACAGAUAAGAACUUAAUUACUAUAUUGUAUCAAAAUCAAGUUGAUGGGCUGGAGGUACAAACCAAACAUGGUGAGUGGAUUGGUGU
rnacentral:lncRNA from 1 species